rnacentral:tRNA from 1 species
UCCCAAAUGGCUCUGUGGUAAAGAGUCUGCCUGCAAAGCAGGAGAUGGAAGAGACACAGGUUUGAUGCCUGCGUUGGGAA